GCAGUGAUGUCAACCGCAUCCGCCGCAGUCCCCGGCAGCCCUAAAACGCGCCGCGGCCCGCGGAAACCCCAGCCCGGCUCCUCCCGCCAGGGCCGAGGAGGAGAGGACGCGCGGGUCCCCGGAGUCCCCCACUCCGUCUGCCUAAGCCGUGGAGACCGGGAGUGGACGCACGGCGGUGCCUGGACCCCCGGGGAGGUGGAAGAAGAGGAGAGGGAAGGGAGCUGUGGAGUCAGGUGUCGAUUUGACGCCCGCGGCCGCCGAGGGGACUCUGCCCGGCACUGGUGCCGCCUGGGGGGCGUUCAGGGAGCGUGGGGCGCCGACCGCUGCAGAUGCGGCGGCGCGCGUGGGCUCGGGCAGGCGCCCCCUUUUCCCGGGAUAGAAACGGAUAAACGGAAGCGCGUGUGAGUGUGGGGGUGCGAAUCGCCACCUCCGGCCUUGGCUUUCCCGCUCUUCCGAGCUCUCCCACUUCUCACUUUCCCCAAAUCCGCAUUUUCCUUGGCACAGCUCUCCCCGAGCACGAAGGAGAGGGAGGUACCCGGGGGCAGUGAGAAUGACGUGUGCUGGUGCAGAGGGGGUGGGGGUCUGCGGGCCUGGAUCUGUGGACGGGCUCCUAAUCCUCUUGUUUUCGGAACCGUCAGCAGAUGCGGCUUCCUUUACCUGAAUAAUCCUUUAAAGGAGUAAUAAUUUUUAAAAAGGAGCUCGACCUCAGCCAAAGAGGACGGCGCACGAGAUUAGGGCUUGGUAAGGAAAAAUUAAAAGGCUCCCAAUUCUCUCUGUCCCUCUCUGCCUUCCCCUCUACCCCUCCCCCUCCCUCCUCCACCCUCCCCUCCCCUCCCCCUUCUUCCUCAUCCCCUGCAAUCCGCGCUCGACGCGAGUUCACGCGAAGGGCUGGAUUUCCAGGCGGCUCCGCAACUUGCGCGGCGCGGUGUUAUUAUUCAUCCGAGGGUGCUGCCUCCUCAACCUUUGCCUCCUGCGCCGCUCUCCUUCCCCCGGCCGCCGCCGCCAGCAGUGCAGUCCCUCCGGCACGCAUGCUCUGGUUCACCAAGAGGGAGACUGAUUUUUUUUAAAUCAUGCUCAUCAUCAUCAUCAUCAUCAUC
rnacentral:lncRNA from 1 species